GAUGUACUUCCUUCGUCCUAAAAUUCUUGUUUUAGAUUUGCCUAGAUAUGAAUGUGUCUAGUCACGUUUUAGUAUUUAGAUNNNNNCAUUUCUAAACAAACCUAAGACAAUAAUUUUAGGACGGAGGGAGUACUAU
rfam:Hordeum vulgare subsp. vulgare, WGS project CAJW01000000 data, contig: morex_contig_132633